GAGUUUGAUCAUGGCUCAGGAUGAACGCUGGCGGCGUGCCUAAUACAUGCAAGUCGAGCGAACGGACGAGAAGCUUGCUUCUCUGAUGUUAGCGGCGGACGGGCGAGUAACACGUGGAUAACCUACCUAUAAGACUGGGAUAACUUCGGGAAACCGGAGCUAAUACCGGAUAAUAUUUUGAACCGCAUGGUUCAAAAGUGAAAGACGGUCUUGCUGUCACUUAUAGAUGGAUCCGCGCUGCAUUAGCUAGUUGGUAAGGUAACGGCUUACCAAGGCAACGAUGCAUAGCCGACCUGAGAGGGUGAUCGGCCACACUGGAACUGAGACACGGUCCAGACUCCUACGGGAGGCAGCAGUAGGGAAUCUUCCGCAAUGGGCGAAAGCCUGACGGAGCAACGCCGCGUGAGUGAUGAAGGUCUUCGGAUCGUAAAACUCUGUUAUUAGGGAAGAACAUAUGUGUAAGUAACUGUGCACAUCUUGACGGUACCUAAUCAGAAA
rnacentral:rRNA from 1 species